rnacentral:lncRNA from 1 species
UACCAUUCAUGAGAAACCAUCCCCAUGAUCCAGUCACCACCCACCAGGUGCCACCACCAACAUUGGGGAUUACAAAUUCAACAUCAGAUUUGGGAAGGGACACAAAUUCAAACCAUAUCAAGGUGUGUAAUGGUAUCUCAUUGUUUUAAUUUGCAAUUCCCUAAUGAUGUAUAAGGUUGAGCAUCUUUUCAUAUGCUUAUUUGCCAUGUGUAUAUUUCUUUUUUGUUGUUGUUUGAGACGGAAUCUCUGUCGCCCAGGCUGGAGUGCAGUGGCCCAGUCUCAGUGCACCGCAACCUCUGCCUCCCAGGUUCACGCCAUUCUCCUGCCUCAGCUUCCCAAGUAGCUGGGACUACAGGCGCCCGCCACCAUGCCUGGCUAAUUUCUUUUUUGUAUUUUUAGUAGAGACGGGGUUUCACCGUGUUAGCCAGGAUGGUCUCGAUCUCCUGACCUCGUGAUCCUCCCGCCUCGGCCUCCCAAAGUGCUGGGAUUACAGGCUUGCCAUGUGUAUAUUUCUUUAGUGAAGUAACUGUUUAGGUUUUUUGCCCAUUUUUAAAUCAGGUUGUUUGUUUUCUUUUCUUUAUGGCCUAUACAUACUCUGUUUUCAUGAAUAGUGCAUGGGUGUGCAUAAGCUUGUUUUUUAAAAAAAAUUUUAGAGACAGGGUCUUGCUCUGUCACCCAGACUGGAGUACAUUGGCAUGAUCAUAGCUCACUGCAGCCUUGAACUCCUGGGCUUAAGUGGUCCUUCUGCCUCAGCCUCUCGAGUAGCUGG